rnacentral:rRNA from 1 species
UGCAGCGACGCCGCGUGAGGGAUGAAGGCCUUCGGGUUGUAAACCUCUUUCAGUAGGGAAGAAGCGAAAGUGACGGUACCUGCAGAAGAAGCGCCGGCUAACUACGUGCCAGCAGCCGCGGUAAUACGUAGGGCGCAAGCGUUAUCCGGAAUUAUUGGGCGUAAAGAGCUCGUAGGCGGUUUGUCGCGUCUGCCGUGAAAGUCCGGGGCUUAACUCCGGAUCUGCGGUGGGUACGGGCAGACUUGAGUGAUGUAGGGGAGACUGGAAUUCCUGGUGUAGCGGUGAAAUGCGCAGAUAUCAGGAGGAACACCGAUGGCGAAGGCAGGUCUCUGGGCAUUAACUGACGCUGAGGAGCGAAAGCAUGGGGAGCGAACAGGAUUAGAUACCCUGGUAGUCCAUGCCGUAAACGUUGGGCACUAGGUGUGGGGGACAUUCCACGUUUUCCGCGCCGUAGCUAACGCAUUAAGUGCCCCGCCUGGGGAGUACGGCCGCAAGGCUAAAACUCAAAGGAAUUGACGGGGGCCCGCACAAGCGGCGGAGCAUGCGGAUUAAUUCGAUGCAACGCGAAGAACCUUACCAAGGCUUGACAUGAACCGGAACGGCGCA